rnacentral:piRNA from 1 species
UGAAGGCACUACUGGUGGGCUGAAAU